GAUGAACGCUGGCGGCGUGCCUAAUACAUGCAAGUCGAGCGAACGGACGAGAAGCUUGCUUCUCUGAUGUUAGCGGCGGACGGGUGAGUAGCACGUGGAUAACCUACCUAUAAGACUGGGAUAACUUCGGGAAACCGGAGCUAAUACCGGAUAAUAUUUUGAACCGCAUGGUUCAAAAGUGAAAGACGGUCUUGCUGUCACUUAUAGAUGGAUCCGCGCUGCAUUAGCUAGUUGGUAAGGUAACGGCUUACCAAGGCAACGAUGCAUAGCCGACCUGAGAGGGUGAUCGGCCACACUGGAACUGAGACACGGACCAGACUCCUACGGGAGGCAGCAGUAGGGAAUCUUCCGCAAUGGGCGAAAGCCUGACGGAGCAACGCCGCGUGAGUGAUGAAGGUCUUCGGAUCGUAAAACUCUGUUAUUAGGGAAGAACAUAUGUGUAAGUACCUGUGCACAUCUUGACGGUACCUAGUCAGAGAGCCACGGCUAACUACGUG
rnacentral:rRNA from 1 species